AAAAGGUGGAGACAAACUACCCCAAAAAUAGUCCCCAGUUCAGAUUGUGGGCUGCAACCCGCCCACAUGAAGUCGGAAUUGCUAGUAAUGGCAGGUCAGCAUACUGCCGUGAAUACGUUCCCGGGCCUUGUACACACCGCCCGUCACACCAUGAGAGUCUGCAACACCCGAAGUCGAUAGUCUAACCGUAAGGAGGACGUCGCCGAAGGUGGGGCCGAUGAUUGGGGU
rnacentral:rRNA from 1 species